GACGAACGCUGGCGGCGUGCUUAACACAUGCAAGUCGAACGGAAAGGCCCUGCUUGCCGGGUACUCGAGUGGCGAACGGGUGAGUAACACGUGGGUGAUCUGCCCUGCACUUCGGGAUAAGCCUGGGAGACUGGGUCUAAUACCGGAUAGGAGCCAUUUUUAGUGUGAUGGUUGGAAAGUUUUUUCGGUGUAGGAUGAGCUCGCGGCCUAUCAGCUUGUUGGUGGGGUAAUGGCCUACCAAGGCGGCGACGGGUAGCCGGCCUGAGAGGGUGGACGGCCACAUUGGGACUGAGAUACGGCCCAGACUCCUACGGGAGGCAGCAGUGGGGAAUAUUGCACAAUGGGCGCAAGCCUGAUGCAGCGACGCCGCGUGGGGGAUGACGGCCUUCGGGUUGUAAACUCCUUUCGCUAGGGACGAAGCUUUUUGUGACGGUACCUAGAUAAGAAGCACCGGCUAACUACGUG
rnacentral:rRNA from 1 species